CCUACGGGGGGCUGCAGUGGGGAAUAUUGGACAAUGGGCGCAAGCCUGAUCCAGCCAUGUCGCGUGAGUGAUGAAGGCCUUAGGGUUGUAAAGCUCUUUUAGCAGGGACGAUAAUGACGGUACCUGCAGAAAAAGCCCCGGCCAACUUCGUGCCAGCAGCCGCGGUAAUACGAAGGGGGCUAGCGUUGCUCGGAAUCACUGGGCGUAAAGCGCACGUAGGUGGGUCGUUAAGUCGGGGGUGAAAUCCCAGAGCUCAACUCUGGAACUGCCUUCGAUACUGGCGACCUUCGAGUCCGGGAGAGGUGAGUGGAACUGCGAGUGUAGAGGUGAAAUUCGUAGAUAUUCGCAAGAACACCAGUGGCGAAGGCGGCUCACUGGCCCGGUACUGACACUGAGGUGCGAAAGCGUGGGGAGCAAACAGGAUUAGAUACCCGAGUAGUC
rnacentral:rRNA from 1 species